UACAGAGGGGGCAAGCGUUGUUCGGAAUUACUGGGCGUAAAGGGCGCGUAGGCGGCCUGUUAAGUCGAACGUGAAAUCCCCGGGCUCAACCCGGGAACUGCGUCCGAUACUGGCAGGCUUGAAUCCGGGAGAGGGAUGCGGAAUUCCAGGUGUAGCGGUGAAAUGCGCAGAUAUCAGGAAGAACACCCGUGGCGAAGGCGGCUCUCUGGGACGGUACUGACGGCUGAGACGCGAAAGCGUGGGGAGCGAACAGG
rnacentral:rRNA from 1 species